rnacentral:rRNA from 1 species
UACGUAGGGGGCGAGCGUUGUCCGGAUUUAUUGGGCGUAAAGAGCGUGUAGGCGGCUCGGUAAGUCCGCUGUAAAAGUCAAAGGCUCAACCUUUGAAUGUCAGUGGAUACUGCCGGGCUAGAGUCCGGAAGAGGCGAGUGGAACUCCUGGUGUAGCGGUGGAAUGCGUAGAUAUCCGGAGGAACACCAGUGGCGAAGGCGGGUCUCUGGACAGUUCCUGACGCUGAGGCACGAAGGUCAGGGGAGCAAACGGG